UACGUAGGGGGCAAGCGUUAUCCGGAAUUACUGGGUGUAAAGGGAGCGUAGACGGUAAUGUAAGUCUGGAGUGAAAGGCGGGGGCCCAACCCCCGGACUGCUCUGGAAACUAUGUUACUAGAGUGCAGGAGAGGUAAGCGGAAUUCCUAGUGUAGCGGUGAAAUGCGUAGAUAUUAGGAGGAACACCAGUGGCGAAGGCGGCUUACUGGACUGCAACUGACGUUGAGGCUCGAAAGCGUGGGGAGCAAACAGG
rnacentral:rRNA from 1 species